CUGCGCAUGUUCAAUUAUGAAAUGUUCCAAAUCCACACAAACUUUCAAAUGUGAAAUAACAUGUGACAAAUUCAUAAGAGAAACUGUUUGAUCAAGGUGAACUAUAAACAGAUUUUAUUACCCCGGUGGAUACGCAGUCAAGUAGUUAUUUUGAGAUGAAGGCGACAGUUAGUUAGCAUUAAUAGAUUAAAUUAUCAUGCUAUAGAGAGCUUAAAUGUGGUGUAAUAUGUAAAUACAGUAUGUUCCUCACAAUUGCAACCGGACAUUGGUGUUUGACAGAUUAUGAUUAAUUAGCGUCGCUGGGAGAAAAAAUAUUAUAAAGCAUAGCAUACUAAGCAUAAUAUUGAACAUUAAAAGUCUCGCAUGAUAUUUCCUUUAUAGUAUCAAUUCGUAAUAUUGUCUUAGUAAUCAGUUUGUGUAUAUUAGAACGAGGCAAUAAGAUCUGGUAUAUACGUAACUGGCCAGUGAAAUAGUGACCGGGCUACAUGAUAUGAUAUUACUAGUGGACGGCUAUUCUGCAAUAUUUCUAUUUGUGGAAAGUAGUCUUGAUGGUCGCUUUGAAACUUCCAGUAUUUUUUUGCACGCUAGUUAUCUUAUCCUGAAUUCCUGAUUCACUUCAAUUGGGAUAUGUAGUUUUACUGACUCGCAAUAACAGUUCUUAAGUAUUUUCGUUUGUAUAUUUGCUAUGGCAUCGCGAAGCAAAUCGUUCACCUUUCUACACGUGGUCGAAGAAGAACAACGUGGAGUGAUGGAUAUAUGGUGC